rnacentral:tRNA from 1 species
GCGCCGAUCGCCGGGGCGGCCGCGCCCCCGCUCGCGCCGGGGGCGCACCCCCGUCGCUCGACCCGCCGUCGUCGCC